rnacentral:rRNA from 1 species
ACUCAAAGGAAUAGACGGGGGCCCGCACAAGCAGCGGAGCGUGUGGUUUAAUUCGAUGAUACACGAAGAACCUUACCAGGGUUUGACAUACAGGUGGUAGAGAAGCGAAAGUGGAACGACCCUUCGGGGAGCCUGAACAGGUGCUGCAUGGCUGUCGUCAGCUCGUGUCGUGAGAUGUUCGGUUAAGUCCGCUAACGAGCGCAACCCUUGUUGUGUGUUACACGUAUCACACGAGACCGCCGGUAGAAAGCCGGAGGAAGGUAGGGAUGACGUCAAGUCAGCAUGGCCUAUAUAUCCUGGGCUACACACACGCUACAAUGAUCGAUACAAUGGGUAGCCAAGCCGCGAGGCGGAGCCAAUCCUAAAAAGUCGGUCUCAGUUCAGAUUGCAGGCUGCAACUCGCCUGCAUGAAGAUGGAGUUGCUAGUAACCGCAGGUCAGCGAUACUGCGGUGAAUACGUUCCCGGGCCUUGUACACACCGCCCGU